rnacentral:rRNA from 1 species
AGAGUUUGAUCCUGGCUCAGAACGAACGCUGGCGGCGUGCCUUAAGCAUGCAAGUUGAGCGAUGCUAGACUUUAUCUAGCAUAGCGGCGCACGGGUGAGUAACACGUAGUUAGUUGACCUAUUGACGGGGAUAGCCGCAAGAAAUUGCGGGUAAUACCCGAUAAGCCCUACGGGGGAAAUGCAGCAAUGCGCAAUUGGAGAUGACUGCGUCCCAUCAGGUAGUUGGCAGGGUAAAAGCCUACCAAGCCUAUGACGGGUAGCCGGCCUGAGAGGGUGUACGGCCACACUGGAACUGAGACACGGUCCAGACUCCUACGGGAGGCAGCAGUGGGGAAUUUUGCGCAAUGGGCGAAAGCCUGACGCAGCAACGCCGCGUGAGUGAUGAAGGCUUUCGGGUCGUAAAGCUCUGUCGAUGGGAAAGAAGUGUAAGGUGGUUAAUACCCGCUUUACUUGACGGUACCCAUAAAGGAAGCACCGGCUAACUCCGUGCCAGCAGCCGCGGUAAUACGGGGGGUGCAAGCGUUGUUCGGAAUUAUUGGGCGUAAAGCGCGUGUAGGCGGUUUGAUUAGUCUGAUGUGAAAGCCCUGGGCUCAACCCAGGAAGUGCAUUGGAAACUGUCAGACUUGAAUACGGGAGAGGGUAGUGGAAUUCCUAGUGUAGGAGUGAAAUCCGUAGAUAUUAGGAGGAACACCGGUGGCGAAGGCGGCUACCUGGACCGAUAUUGACGCUGAGACGCGAAAGCGUGGGUAGCAAACAGGAUUAGAUACCCUGGUAGUCC